UCUACGGGAGGCUGCAGUGGGGAAUAUUGCGCAAUGGGCGAAAGCCUGACGCAGCGACGCCGCGUGAGGGAUGAAGGUCUUCGGAUCGUAAACCUCUGUCAGCAGGGAAGAACGGUCACUGUGCUAAUCAGCAGUGAAUUGACGGUACCUGCAAAGGAAGCACCGGCUAACUCCGUGCCAGCAGCCGCGGUAAUACGGAGGGCGCGGGCGUUAAUCGGAAGUACUGGGUGUAAAGCGCUCGUAGGCGGUAUGUCAAGUCAAGGGUGAAAUCCCCGCGCUAAACGUGGGAACUGCCUUUGAAACUGGCAAAGUGGAGUGUGUGAGAGGAUAGUGGAAUUGCAGGUGUAGGGGUGAAAUCCGUAGAUAUCUGGAGGAACAUCAGUGGCGAAGGCGACUAUCUGGCACAUAACUGACGCUGAGGAGCGAAAGCGUGGGUAGCAAACAGGAUUAGAUACCCGAGUAGUC
rnacentral:rRNA from 1 species